AUUUCCAAAGGAAUGAAACCAGAAUAUGCGAAAUCGACCAAAGCUCGAUUUCUGGCAGAAUUCAAGAGGCACAUUGAACAAAUGAUUCAAACUAUCAAUCGUGCUCCAAUUUACUCAGAAAUAUAUUGUGGAAAGAUAUUUCAAUCUAUUUUCAGAUAAAACAAGUCUCGUAUGAAUCGAAGUUUCCAACAAAAAGUUACAAUUGAUUUAG
rnacentral:lncRNA from 1 species